CCUACGGGAGACAGCAGUGAGGAAUAUUGGUCAAUGGGCGGAAGCCUGAACCAGCCAAGUAGCGUGCAGGAUGACGGCCCUACGGGUUGUAAACUGCUUUUAUACGGGAAUAACGCGCCUUACGUGUAGGGCUUUGCAUGUACCGUAUGAAUAAGGACCGGCUAAUUCCGUGCCAGCAGCCGCGGUAAUACGGAAGGUCCGGGCGUUAUCAGGAUUGAUUGGGUGUAAAGGGAGCGGAGGCGGCAUGUCAAGCGUGCUGUGAAAUGUCCGGGCUCAACCCGGGCCUUGCAGCGCGAACUGGCUUGCUUGAGUGCGCGGGAAGCAGGCGGAAUUCGUCGUGUAGCGGUGAAAUGCUUAGAUAUGACGAAGAACCCCGAUUGCGAAGGCAGCUUGCUGCAGCGGAACUGACGCUGAUGCUCGAAAGCGCGGGUAUCGAACAGGAUUAGAUACCCCAGUAGUC
rnacentral:rRNA from 1 species